UGGGGAAUUUUGGACAAUGGGCGCAAGCCUGAUCCAGCAAUGCCGCGUGAGUGAAGAAGGCCUUCGGGUUGUAAAGCUCUUUCAGUCGAGAAGAAAAGGUUGUGACCAAUAAUCACAACUCAUGACGGUAUCGACAGAAGAAGCACCGGCUAACUACGUGCCAGCAGCCGCGGUAAUACGUAGGGUGCGAGCGUUAAUCGGAAUUACUGGGCGUAAAGGGUGCGCAGGCGGUUUUGUAAGUCAGAUGUGAAAUCCCCGGGCUUAACCUGGGAACUGCGUUUGAAACUACAAGACUAGAGUGUGGCAGAGGGGGGUGGAAUUCCAUGUGUAGCAGUGAAAUGCGUAGAGAUAUGGAAGAACAUCGAUGGCGAAGGCAGCCCCCUGGGUUAACACUGACGCUCAUGCACGAAAGCGUGGGGAGCAAACAGGAUUAGAUACCCCUGUAGUCCCUGAGCGGGCUGGCAAGGCGCAU
rnacentral:rRNA from 1 species